GUUGUCCGGAUUUAUUGGGUUUAAAGGGUGCGUAGGUGGUUUAUUAAGUCAGUGGUGAAAGGCUACAGCUCAACUGUAGGAGUGCCAUUGAUACUGGUAGACUUGAGUUUGGUCGAGGUAGGCGGAAUUUAUGGUGUAGCGGUGAAAUGCAUAGAUACCAUAAAGGAACCCCGAUAGUGAAGACAGCUUACUAGGCCUGGAACUGACACU
rnacentral:rRNA from 1 species